rnacentral:snRNA from 1 species
UUUUUGAUACACUCUGUCUUCC